AGUGAACGCUGGCAGUAGGCCUAACACAUGCAAGUCGAACGGCAGCACAGUAAGAGCUUGCUCUUACGGGAGGCGAGUGGCGGACGGGUGAGGAAUAAAUAGGAAUCUACUUUUUCGUGGGGGAUAACGUAGGGAAAAUUAAGUUACUAACGAAUACUACAUACGGGUGAAAGCAUGGUAACUUAGGACCUUGCGCGAUUGAAUAAGUCGAUGUCGGAUUAGCUAGUUGGUGGGGUAAAGGCCCACCAAGGCGACGAUCCGUAGCUGGUCUGAGAGGAUGAUCAGCCACACUGGAACUGAGACACGGUCCAGACUCCUACGGGAGGCAGCAGUGGGGAAUAUUGGACAAUGGGCGCAAGCCUGAUCCAGCCAUACCGCGUGAGUGAAGAAGGCCUUCGGGUUGUAAAGCCCUUUUAUUGGGAAAGAAAAGCAGCAGAUUAAUACCCCGCUGUUCUGACGGUACCCAAAGAAUAAGCACCGGCUAACUUCGUG
rnacentral:rRNA from 1 species